rnacentral:rRNA from 1 species
UGGGGAAUAUUGGACAAUGGGCGCAAGCCUGAUCCAGCAAUGCCGCGUGUGUGAAGAAGGCCUUCGGGUUGUAAAGCACUUUUAUCAGGAGCGAAACGCUGUCGGCUAAUACCCGGCGGAACUGACGGUACCUGAGGAAUAAGCACCGGCUAACUUCGUGCCAGCAGCCGCGGUAAUACGAAGGGUGCAAGCGUUAAUCGGAAUUACUGGGCGUAAAGCGUGCGUAGGCGGUUUCUUAAGUCUGCUGUGAAAUCCCCGGGCUCAACCUGGGAAUGGCAGUGGAUACUGGGAGGCUAGAGUGUGUCAGAGGGUGGUGGAAUUCCCGGUGUAGCGGUGAAAUGCGUAGAGAUCGGGAGGAACAUCAGUGGCGAAGGCGGCCACCUGGGACAACACUGACGCUGAGGCACGAAAGCGUGGGGAGCAAACAGGAUUAGAUACCCUGGUAGUCCACGCCCUAAACGAUGCGAACUGGAUGUUGGUCUCAACUCGGAGAUCAGUGUCGAAGCUAACGCGUUAAGUUCG